UACGUAGGGUGCGAGCGUUAAUCGGAAUUACUGGGCGUAAAGUGGGCGCAGGCGGCUGCGCAAGUCGAGUGUGAAAGCCCCGAGCUUAACUUGGGAAUUGCGCUCGAAACUACGUGGCUGGAGUGUGGCAGAGGAAGGUGGAAUUCCAGGUGUAGCGGUGAAAUGCGUAGAUAUCGGGAGGAACACCUGUGGCGAAAGCGGCGCACUGGACCGCAACUGACGCUGAGGCGCGAAAGCUAGGGGAGCAAACAGG
rnacentral:rRNA from 1 species